CGCCGGCGUGGACGAGGUGCUAACCACCAGCACGCCGGGGAUACUGGACUCUGGGGGGUAGUUCUGAGAUGUCCAGCGCGCUGGCGAAGGCAGAGGCGCGGAACGAAAGUCUGACGGGC
rnacentral:ncRNA from 1 species